CUCAUCUGCUUCUGGCCCGAAAAGAGACCUGGAAAUCUUGACUUAGCCUACAGUGCAGUCUGAAAGUUGUCUAAGCCAAGCCUGCCUAAUCUCUAAGGUCUGCAUCCAUUUCUUGGAAUGACUUAGAAGCGGUGACAUUCCAAUAGCAUCAAGCACUCCCAAUGCCCUGGUCUUGCUUUCAAAUACCAUUCUCCAAUAAAAGGCAUCAGUGCUCCUUGAAGAACUGGCUGGUUCCAGGGCUGGGCAGAGGAAUAUACAAGAUGAAUCUGGACUACCUUGUGGUGUCAUAAAGUAAGAAAAUGCUAAAACAGAGAAAAACCAAAUUAUGGGGAUGUGUUAAAGGGGCACAGAAAUGAAAUGAAAGCUCCCAAAGAUCAAAUCUGGGACAAUUUGAGUGAGAAAAUUCAUAAAGUAGUACUGGAUUAUAACCCAAAGUAUAAAAUAUCCAUAAAUCUACAAUGAUUUAAAUAAAUGAAUAAUAAGUAGAAGGAGAUGUGAUGGUUAAUUUUAUGUGUGAACUUGACUGGGCUAAAUGUUGUCCAAAUAGCUGGUAAAACAUUAUUUCUGGGUAUUUCCAUGAGGGUGCUUCUGGGAGAAAUUAGUGUUUGAACUGGUAGGCUGAGUAAGGAAAAUCCACUCUCACCAGUGGGGGUGGGCAUCAUCCAACCCACUGAGGGCCCAAAUGGAAGAAAAGGGCAAUAGGGUGAAUUAUUUCUCUUUUCUUGAGCUGGGACAUCCAUUCUUUCCUGCCCUCAGACGCCAGAGACCCUGGUUCUCAGGCCUUCAGACUUGGAGUGAAUUAUACCACCAGCUUCCCUGGGUCUCCAGCUUGCAGACUGCAGACUGUGGGACUUCUCAGCCUUCGUAAUCAUGUAAGACAAUUCCUCUCAAUACAUCUCCUCCUGUA